UGGGGAAUUUUGGACAAUGGGCGAAAGCCUGAUCCAGCAAUGCCGCGUGUGUGAAGAAGGCCUUCGGGUUGUAAAGCACUUUUGUCCGGAAAGAAAUCCUUGGCUCUAAUACAGUCGGGGGAUGACGGUACCGGAAGAAUAAGCACCGGCUAACUACGUGCCGGCAGCCGCGGUAAUACGUAGGGUGCAAGCGUUAAUCGGAAUUACUGGGCGUAAGCGUGCGCAGGCGGUUUGCUAAGACCGAUGUGAAAUCCCCGGGCUCAACCUGGGAACUGCAUUGGUGACUGGCAGGCUAGAGUAUGGCAGAGGGGGGUAGAAUUCCACGUGUAGCAGUGAAAUGCGUAGAGAUGUGGAGAAUACCGAUGGCGAAGGCAGCCCCCUGGGCCAAUACUGACGCUCAUGCACGAAAGCGUGGGGAGCAAACAGGAUUNGAUACCCUGGUAGUCCACGCCCUAAACGAUGUCAACUAGUUGUUGGGGAUUCAUUUCCUUAGUAACGUAGCUAACGCGUGAAGUUGACCGCCUGGGGAGUACGUCGCAAGAUUAAAACUCAAAUGAAUUG
rnacentral:rRNA from 1 species